UACAUAGGUGGCGAACGUUAUCCGGAAUUAUUGGGCGUAAAGGAUGCGUAGAUGGUGUAGUAAGUUAUCGGUGGCAAAUCGAGGCUCAACCUCGUGGAAGUCGGUAAUACUGCUAUGCUAGAGGAUAGGAGAGGUUAACGGAACUCCCUGUGGAGCGGUGAAAUGCGUAGAUAUAGGGAAGAACACCAAUAAGGCGAAGGCAGUUAACUAUUCUAUUCCUGACAUUGAGGCAUGAAAGCGUGGGGAGCAAAACGG
rnacentral:rRNA from 1 species